GAAUGGGAAUCUUCUGGGAGAACCAUCACUUCAUUAAGUAUCAUCGUAUUCAAAAGGUCUCCUUUUUCCAUCACUGCUUCAUGUAUAUCUCUCCUAAAACACCCAGCUCAGUCAAAAAGGAAAACAAUUCCCGUUAAGAGAGGAAUUACUACUGGUGAAAGGUGUACUCAUUGAUGUUCCCAUUCAAGAGCUUUCAUAGAUAGGACCUCACCCUUUAUUUGGCCUCUAUGUAUGUGAUUUUCUAAUACCCAUCACUCACAGUCAGGAACAUGGCCAGCACUUCCUGAUGGCCAGCACCU
ensembl:misc_RNA 7SK 7SK RNA